rnacentral:misc_RNA from 1 species
AAAAUAUAAGCCUACACGAUAUAAAUGUAUAUAAAGAAGAAUCCACCAAUUUACAUUUCAAUUCAAGGGAAGGAACUCGCAGUUGAAGAAAGAACAAUAAAUUCUCUGGUUUUGUUUUUGGUUCUAAGACUUUAGGCCUCCUCUUCUGCCAGUGUUCGCGAUGGUUCCUUGCCUCAUCCAGGCAGGGGAUGGCUCCCUCGUCCAUGCCCGAUAGGGGGUUUUCUUCCUCGUUGCCCUUGGGUGGUGGUGUAAAUACUUGGUUUUUUGGCUUAAUUUGGGUUACAGGUAGUACUUUUAUCAGAGAGGAAGAUCGUUAGGAAACCUGCUCUAUAGUCGACCCUAUGGUUCUUGCUGCAUGUGGAUAUCGGUGGGG